GUUUUUUUAUAUAAAUAAAUUGUCCUUUUUACUUAAUGGGAAAAUAAUAAGACUAAGAAUACGUUACUGAAAAAUAUUAUCUUACUACAAGGUUACCACUUCUAGAUUUGGUGUUACUUACAUGGAAAUUAGGGAAAAAGAAAAAUUAACAGGCGAUCAGGAAAAGUUGAUGAAUAGAAAAUAUUUGAAGAUCGUCCUUGAAGUUUUAACCAAAACAUUAUAACAUUUUACAAGAGAAUCAACGUUUUCAAUAAUACUUUAAGAAGACAUACUUACAAAUAUAUUUAUUAUUUGCUAGAGGAAUUUACAUUAGAUGUA